GAAUCUGGCUUCAGGUCGGGGAUAACUACUGGAAACGGUGGCUAAUACCGGAUGUGCCGAGAGGUGAAAGGCUUGCUGCCUGAAGAUGAGCUCGCGUCUGAUUAGCUAGUAGGUGUGGUAAGAGCGCACCUAGGCGACGAUCAGUAGCUGGUCUGAGAGGAUGAUCAGCCACACUGGGACUGAGACACGGCCCAGACUCCUACGGGAGGCAGCAGUGGGGAAUUUUCCGCAAUGGGCGAAAGCCUGACGGAGCAAUACCGCGUGAGGGAGGAAGGCUCUUGGGUUGUAAACCUCUUUUCUCAAGGAAUAAUUAUGAAGGUACUUGAGGAAUAAGCAUCGGCUAACUCCGUGCCAGCAGCCGCGGUAAUACGGAGGAUGCAAGCGUUAUCCGGAAUGAUUGGGCGUAAAGCGUCCGCAGGUGGCGAUGUAAGUCUGCUGUUAAAGAGUGAGGCUCAACCUCAUAAGAGCAGUGGAAACUACAUGGCUAGAGUGCGUUCGGGGUAGAGGGAAUUCCUGGUGUAGCGGUGAAAUGCGUAGAGAUCAGGAAGAACACCGGUGGCGAAGGCGCUCUACUAGGCCGCAACUGACACUGAGGGACGAAAGCUAGGGGAGCG
rnacentral:rRNA from 1 species